rnacentral:rRNA from 1 species
UACAGAGGGUGCAAGCGUUGUUCGGAAUUAUUGGGCGUAAAGCGCGUGUAGGCGGCUUUGCAAGUCGGGUGUGAAAGCCCUCAGCUCAACUGAGGAAGUGCGCCCGAAACUGCAGGGCUAGAGUCCUGGAGAGGAAGGUGGAAUGCUUGGUGUAGAGGUGAAAUUCGUAGAUAUCAAGCGGAACACCGGUGGCGAAGGCGGCCUUCUGGACAGUGACUGACGCUGAGACGCGAAAGCGUGGGGAGCAAACAGG